rnacentral:tRNA from 1 species
GGAGGGUGUAGCUCAGUGGUAGAGUGCAUGCUUAGCAUGCAUGAGGUCCUGGGUUCAAACCCCAGUACUUCCA